UGGGGAAUUUUGGACAAUGGGCGAAAGCCUGAUCCAGCAAUGCCGCGUGUGUGAAGAAGGCCUUCGGGUUGUAAAGCACUUUUGUCCGGAAAGAAAUCCUUGGCUCUAAUACAGUCGGGGGAUGACGGUACCGGAAGAAUAAGCACCGGCUAACUACGUGCCAGCAGCCGCGGUAAUACGUAGGGUGCAAGCGUUAAUCGGAAUUACUGGGCGUAAAGCGUGCGCAGGCGGUUUGCUAAGACCGAUGUGAAAUCCCCGGGCUCAACCUGGGAACUGCAUUGGUGGCUGGCAGGCUAGAGUAUGGCAGAGGGGGGUAGAAUUCCACGUGUAGCAGUGAAAUGCGUAGAGAUGUGGAGGAAUACCGAUGGCGAAGGCAGCCCCCUGGGCCAAUACUGACGCUCAUGCACGAAAGCGUGGGGAGCAAACAGGAUUAGAUACCCUGGUAGUCCACGCCCUAAACGAUGUCAACUAGUUGUUGGGGAUUCAUUUCCUUAGUAACGUAGCUAACGCGUGAAGUUGACCGCCUGGGGAGUAACGGUCGCAAGAUUAAAACUCAAAUGAAUUGACGGGGUCAUAGCUGUUUCCUG
rnacentral:rRNA from 1 species